ensembl:lncRNA
GGGGUAUGGUAGUAGGUGCCUUUGAACAGGGUAUGGUAGUAGGUGUCUUUGAAUGGGGUAUGGUAGUAGGUGCCUUUGAACAGGGUGUGGUAGUAGGUGCCUUUGAACAGGGUAUGGUAGUAGGUGCCUUUGAACAGGGUAUGGUAGUAGGUGCCUUUGAACAGGGUAUGGUAGUAGGUGUCUUUGAAUGGGGUAUGGUAGUAGGUGCCUUUGAACAGGGUAUGGUAGUAGGUGUCUUUGAAUGGGGUAUGGUAGUAGGUGCCUUUGAACAGGGUGUGGUAGUAGGUGCCUUUGAACAGGGUAUGGUAGUAGGUGCCUUUGAACAGGGUAUGGUAGU